rnacentral:tRNA from 1 species
UUCUGGCGGCUCAGAUGGUAAAGAAUCUGCCUGCAAUGCAGGAGACCCAGGUUCGAUCCCUGGGUUGGGAA